UACGAAGGGGGCUAGCGUUGCUCGGAAUCACUGGGCGUAAAGCGCACGUAGGCGGAUUGUUAAGUCAGGGGUGAAAUCCUGGAGCUCAACUCCAGAACUGCCUUUGAUACUGGCAAUCUCGAGUUCGGGAGAGGUGAGUGGAACUGCGAGUGUAGAGGUGAAAUUCGUAGAUAUUCGCAAGAACACCAGUGGCGAAGGCGGCUCACUGGCCCGAUACUGACGCUGAGGUGCGAAAGCGUGGGGAGCAAACAGG
rnacentral:rRNA from 1 species